CGCGCUCUUCGUCCGAUCGCCCGCCGCCGCCCCUUACCCGGCUGCCCGCCAGCCACCUGCACCCAUCUGCGCGCUGCCGGCCAGCCGCCCCAUAUCCCUUGCAGAAAAGAGUAGAGAAGAGUAGAGACUAGAGAAGAGCGGAGAAAAGAUAAUAGGUAUAGAGUAGAAACUUGAUUUAUAUUGCUAUAUACUAUUUGCUGUGCUUUUUAUGUUCAUUUACUUUGCUAUGAUUUUUCUUGCUAGGUAAAUUUAUGGACAGCUAUGUUGAUUUGUUGGGUUAGCUGGAAGAUGUUAUUAAAAUAUAGAUGGGUGUGAUAUAUAUGAUGUAAUAUGGAUGAUCUGUUGGAGUGGGAAGGGAUAUGAAUGAGAAAUCUUUUUUGGAUGACUAUCCAUAUAAACAUGUGGAGGAUCAAAUAUGGAUGAGCUCCUGGGAAUGCUCUUAGAGUAGGUUUAAUAGGAGUGCUAGCUGUUAGCUGCAUUAGGGGUAGUUUGGAUACAGUAACUAAACAUGCUACAUCCGAUAUUGGAACACUAAUUUGGAGUAUUAAACAUAGACUAAUUACUCAGAUGGAGGCUAAUUUGCGAGACGAAUCUAUUAAGCCUAAUUAAUCCUUGAUUAUCACAUAUUUACUGUAGCACUAUAUUGUCAAAUCAUGGACUAAUUAGUAUUAGUAGAUUUGUCUUGCCAAUUAGCCUCUACUCCCCCGGUUUCAUUGUAAUUGACGUUUUGGACAAUGACACGUUUUACAAAAUAUAUCUUUGACAUUAUUUUUCUAUUAUAAUAUAUACAAUAAAUAAAUGUAUAUUUACUUUUAUUAUUGUGCUUUGAAAGACACAUCUAUAUAUGUUGCUCUGGUUCCUUUCAACUAAAUAUUUUUAAAGUUAUUGAUGGUUAAAGUUAUAAAAGUUUUACCUAACCUUGUCCAAAACAUCAAUAAUUAUGGAACCAAAGGGAGUAUCUAUGUAAUUAGUUUUAUAAUUAGCCUAUAUUUAAUACUCAAAAUAGUGUCCAAACAUCCGAUGUGACAUGACAGGGACUAAAGUUUAGUCCUGGUAUCCAAACUACCCUAGUGUACGUGUCAUCUCCACGUUAUUUACCAUCAUCUCUGUAGCUAACUUACACAAUGAUGAUCUCCACCAAUACUUAGCAUCAAAUUCUAGAAAGUAUUAUUUAUAUAUUAUGGGAUCCUGCCAUGCAUGUGUUCUGCUGUACUCCCUCCGUCCAAAAAAACUCAACCUAGACAAGGAUGUGACAUCUUCUAGUACAACGAAUCUGGACAACCCUUUAUCCAGAUUUGUUAUACUAGAAAAUGUCACAUCCCCUCCUAAGUUUAGGUGGUGUUUGGAUCCAGGGACUUAACUUUAGUCUCUGUAUUUAGACACUAAUUUAGAGUAUUAAAUAUAGACUACUUACAAAACUAAUUAUAUAAAUGAAAGCUAAUUUGCGAGAUAAAUUUUUUAAGCCUAAUUAAUCCAUAAUUAGAGAAUGUUUACUGUAGCAUCACAUAGGAUAAUCAUGGAUUAAUUAGGCUCAAUAGAUUCGUCUCGCGAAUUAGUCCAAGAUUAUGAAUGGGUUUUAUUAAUAGUCUACAUUUAAUAUUUAUAAUUAGUGAUGCAGUGUCACACCCUAAAAAUUCAAAAUAUAUAAAUUGUUGCUUAAUUGGAAUUUUUAGAAAUGAUUUUAAAAAAAGCCUAGAAGAGAAGAUCUAAUUUUAAAUAAUAAAUUCCAAUAUAAAAUGGUGCUAGAUAAAAUUUCAUUAAAUACUUUGCUUAAUUCUAUAAUUCUUAGAUUUUUCUGGGAUUUAUUUGAGCUAAGGAAGUAUUUUUAAUAAAUGGAAUUGCAUUUAAGAAAUAAUUUAAAUUGAAAAAGGUUUUAAAAAGUCUCUUUUGGCUUUGGGCCGAAAGUCGGCCCAAAACCUUUCUCUCUCUCCUCGGCCCAGUCCGGCCCAGUCCGCCGCCGCGCGCGCGCGCGUCCGCCCGCUGACAGGUGGGGCCCAACUGUCAGGGCCGUCGUCAACCUCCGGCCGCCGCCGCCCGAAACCCUAGUUUCGCGCCGCCGCCGUUCCCUUCCAAAUCUGGUCGAUCCUUUCCCGAUCCGGUGAAAUCAAUAGAGGGGAAACAAUCUCCGGGAUCUCCUCUACCUUUUCUCUUUUGGAAACAUCGGCUAAUUCGUUUUGGAAAUCGUUGGAAUCAAGUUCGAAUCGGAUUCGUCUCUCUCCUCCGAACCCUAAACCUUCCUUCUCGUCGCCAGCCGCCGUGGGCCUUCGCCGUGGCCUCCGAGUCCCUUUAAAAGGUUCCCCGGUGUCUCCUCUACCCGCCGCCACUCUCGCCUUCGCCUCUCGUCGCCGGAAGAGCUCUAGCGCCGUGCAACCUAGCGCCGCCGUCGCCGCCGUCGCUCCAGCCGUGCGCUGCCGCCGUCUCGGUCGUCGUCAUCGCUCGGGAAGGCCACCGUCAUGAUCGCCAAGUCGCCGCCGUUCUCGUCCGCUCCUUCGCCGCCGCCGAAGACCGCCGGAACACCGUCGCCGCCGUCGACCCGAAGUUUGCCGCCGAUUCCUCCUCGUCGCCGUCGCCGUCCGUUGAUCUUCUGCCGCUGUUUUGGUCACCGGUGAGUUCGCCGCGUCGCGCUCUACCCGUUGGUGCCUUCCGUUCGCGCCGCCGUGCCGUCGUUCGCCGGCGAGCAUGCAAGCCCGAGCCGCCGAGCCGCCGCCGCCGGUGGUGACGUCAUCGCUGACGUCAUCGUCGCCCUCUCCCGUGAGCCGGUCGUAGACCGAUCGAUCUCGGCCGUCCGUUUUGGAUGGAUCGAUCUCGGCCGUCCGUUCGCGUGAACCGUCGCCCGUGCGCCCGGUCCACCGAAACCCUAGCCGCUGACGCAAUAAACCCCUUUUUCCUUUUCAAAAAUAAUUCAUUAUUGCGUCAUAAUUCAAUUAAAAUCAAUAUAAGUGUUUUAAUCCGAUUUAAUCUUCAAAAAUUCAUAACUAAUUCAUCUUAGCUCCGAUUUAGUUGGUUCAAGUCUCUAAAUUUUUCUAAAAUUGAGAUCUACAUGUUAAAAAUAUCCACAUGUACUGUUCAUGCUUGUUUAUGUGCUGUUUUGGUGAUUUUGUUCUUUUCUGCUUAGAUUCCGUCGUUUCCGGAGAGUCCGUUUUAGCAGGAGAAGAUUUUGAAGAGUUCCAAGGCCAGCAAGGCAAGUCACACAGAUCCCAAACAACCCUUUGAGCAUGUUGAUCCUAUUUAAAGCUAUUGUUUCUAUUCAAAUAUUGCAUUUAUUUUCGAAUGUCAUUGGAUGGAAUUAACCUAUUGUUUGUUAUAGCCCUUUUGUUCUUGAUUACUUUAUUCCUUGAUACCUUGGGUUAAUAUAACUUGACUAGUUGAGCUUUAUAUAUAUUGGUUCAACUAGAUAUUAGAUAUAAUUGCUUAGCCCUGCUUAGAAACAUUAGCUCACUUUUGGGAUAACUUAUGACUCACUAUUAUUUAAUGAUGGCUUAAUGAUAGUUCACGAUGGACAAUCGUGAUUGAUUAAUUAAUUAAUGUGCCAACUAAAACCUGAUAAUGGUGGGUUGUGAGCACAUGGUUUUGAUGGUCGUGCUCAUGACAAUUAAGGACCGGUUCACGAGUUUCGGUUGUGAAACAUUUACCGUGCCAACCACAAGCCAGCGUGGGCAACGGCUUUACCUUUUGUAUAGCAUGGUUCAUUGCGGAGCACCAGACUGAGAAGUGGCGGAGAUAAGCCCACGGGGGUUCGCUGGGGAGUCCAUGCCUUGUUUUAUAAGGGGGUGAUUAUGAUCCAGGAAAGGUGCACUGCAGUGGAUUGUGUUGUACGAGAGGUAUUGUCACAACUCCUUUCCGAGGUACCGUGGUGGUAUUGAGGCACAUGGUGACAUGAUGUGGGGUUGUGUCUUGUGGGUACAGUGGUACACCUCUGAUCAGAGUAAAACUAUUCGAAUAGCCGUGCCCGCGGUUAUGGGCGGGUCUAACAAUGUCUUUCGUGAUUAGUCUCACCCUUCUCACCAUAGUAAAUGAUGCUAUAACUGGUGAUAAUUUGAUUAGCUCCUGGUUUGGAAUGGUACAUUCCUGGUUUGGAGAUAGAACUGUGCAACCGGGAUGGUUGUUCAGAAUGGUUGGGCCUAUACAACAGGGUAUGUUGUAUAGCGUUGAUUUAAUAUUGUUUAAUUAUUACUUAACUGUUUUAUUAAAUUCUCAAAUGUUUGUUAAAUGCUGCUUUUGCAAAUGAAACCCUACUAUGCCAUCCUUUGUUAUCCUGUGCACUUGCAUAUUUGCUGCGUGGCUUGCUGAGUAUGUCAUAUACUCACCUUGCAAUCAUUCAUCAGAGGAAGAGUUCUACAAUGAGGCUGAUGGUGGGGAGGAUUAGGUGUAGCCCUGGUCAAGCUGCCUGUGGAGUGGAGCCGUCUGCGCCGUUUAUUUUAUUUUUCCGCUGCUUAGAUCUUUAUUGAUUGAGAGGAACUAUCUACCUCUGUAAUGACAUUAUAU
rnacentral:lncRNA from 1 species